rnacentral:tRNA from 1 species
UGGGACGUAGUGUAAUGGAAACACCAGGAGUUUUGGACCCCUGAAUAGAGGUUCAAGUCCUUUUUUCCCAU